GCCGGGAGUGGUGGCUCAUGCCUGUAAUCCCAGCACUUUGGGAGGCUGAGGCGGGUGGAUCACCUGAGGUCAGGAGUUCAAAACCAGCCUGACCAACAUGGUGAAACCCCGUCUCUA
rnacentral:sRNA from 1 species